GUGAACGCUGGCGGUAGGCCUAACACAUGCAAGUCGAACGGCAGCACAGAGGAGCUUGCUCCUUGGGUGGCGAGUGGCGGACGGGUGAGGAAUACAUCAGAAUCUACUCUUUCGUGGGGGAUAACGUAGGGAAACUUACGCUAAUACCGCAUACGACCUUCGGGUGAAAGCAGGGGAUCGCAAGACCUUGCGCGAUUGAAUGAGCCGAUGUCGGAUUAGCUAGUUGGCGGGGUAAAGGCCCACCAAGGCGACGAUCCGUAGCUGGUCUGAGAGGAUGAUCAGCCACACUGGAACUGAGACACGGUACAGACUCCUACGGGAGGCAGCAGUGGGGAAUAUUGGACAAUGGGCGCAAGCCUGAUCCAGCCAUACCGCGUGGGUGAAGAAGGCCUUCGGGUUGUAAAGCCCUUUUGUUGGGAAAGAAAAGCACACGGUUAAUACCCGAGUGUUCUGACGGUACCCAAAGAAUAAGCACCGGCUAACUUCGUGCCAGCAGCCGCAGUAAGAC
rnacentral:rRNA from 1 species